AUUUGCUGAAAAACUUCCACCAAGUUUCUGAAAGCCAUGCCUCAAAAUCAUUAAAUUUUGUUGAAUCUCUCCAAUUUGACCACAAAGUAUCAACCUCUUCCCGAUACGACUUUAAACUUUACGGCCACGAUCCAGUUGAUCAUUUGCAAGAUGUUCGACGUACAUAAUUCUGCAUAUAUCAUUAUCUGAAAACUCGUUGGUGAUGAAUUCAAAGAAUUGUUAUAGACAAUGAAUGAUGUGAAGACAAAGUUUUGAAUGUGAAGACCAUUGCAAGCAUUCUAGAAUUUAUGAAGAAGAUUUGUCUUUCUGCAGAAAAAAAAAAGAGAAGAAAUUUGUUUUGUUGGAUUAGUGGAAAACUGAAAAGUG
rnacentral:lncRNA from 1 species